UAUCUUCAGACUUCAGCAGGUGACCCGGGGCCUUCGUGGCCCAUCCAUCGGGUUGAAACGGGAAGCCGGUGACAUCGCCCAGGCGAUCACUCCGGCGCUGCCCCCGCAACGGUAAGUGGUGAACUUGGAGAACCCAGGCCACUGUGAGACCCCGUCCCCCGGGCGGAUCUCAUGGGAAGGCAGCUCUCCACCUUGAAUACCCACCACAAGCCCGGAGACCGGCCUGUUGAAGACCAGGUGC
rnacentral:ncRNA from 2 species